GUUCAAAAUACACCUUCGAUAAACUUUUUUCAAAGAAAAAAAACACCCAAAUAAGAUAAAAAAAAACAAGUGUAAAAAAAAGAGAGCUUUAAAAAUAAAAAAUUAAACGUUUAUCUGCUCGGUCUUUCCCCGGCGGCUGAGAAGAACAAGAACAGCAACAAGACCGAUAAGAAGAGAAGACUUCAACAGAUCCAAUGGCUGAGGAGCAAAUAGAUUUUGAAGAUGAGGAGUAUGGAGGAUCUCAGAAGCUGCAAUAUCAGGGAAGUGGGGCCAUACCUGCACUUGCAGAGGAAGAGAUGGGCGAAGACGACGAGUAUGAUGAUCUUUAUAAUGAUGUUAAUGUUGGGGAGAAUUUUCUUCAGAUGCAGCGGACCGAGGUUCCGCCGGCUCGCGCUAGUGCGAGUAAUGGAGGAUUUCAGGCUCAGAAUGUUAAUGAGUCGAGAGGCGAACCUGGUGGCUCGCAAGGAUUGAACAUUCCUGGUGUUGCAGUUGAACCGAGUUAUCCGACCGGGACGCAUUUUCCGGACCAGAAGGUGGUUCCUGUUGGUGUUAAGGGGCAGGAACUGGGAUCUGUUGGAUACCCGGAUGGGUCUUCUGUUGCGCAAAAAGCGAGAGUUAUGGACGUGGUUAAUGAUUCUCAAACUAGAAACAUGGGGUUGCAAGGAUCGACGUCAGCACCAGAUGGUUCUGAUAUGAAUAGAAGAAUUGCUAAUGAGCCCACGCCUGUGCCUAAUACCGGUGGUCCUCGAGCCAUGCAACAAUUGCCGGCUAAUCAGUUGAAUAUGAAUAUGGAUGCCAAUCGAUUGGUAGCAAAUGAAAAUCAGAUUAGGCCUGCUGUAGAGAAUGGUUCAACUACGGUGUUUGUUGGAGAACUACAUUGGUGGACAACUGAUGCAGAGCUUGAGAAUGUUUUAUCUCAAUAUGGAAGGGUUAAAGAGAUAAAGUUCUUUGAUGAAAAAGCUAGUGGUAAAUCUAAAGGCUAUUGCCAAGUUGAAUUUUAUGAUGCAGCUGCUGGUGCUGCAUGUAAAGAGGGAAUGAAUGGGCAUCUUUUUAAUGGUCGGCCUUGCCUUGUUGCCUUUGCUUCUCCACAGACAUUAAAGCAGAUGAGUAAUUCUUACAUGAACAAAAAUCAGGGUCAGCAGCAGUCACAUAAUCAGGGAAGAAGGCCUAUGAACGAUGGUGCAGGAAGAGGUGGUAAUGUAAAUUAUCAAGGUGGAGAUGGAGGACGGAACUUUGGACGAGGUGGGUGGGGACGAGGUGGCCAGGGUAUCCUUAAUAGAGGUCCUGGGGGUGGAGGACGGACUGGUGGAAGAGGAGCUAUGGGUGCUAUGAACAUUGUUGGUGGUGCUGGUGGAGUGGGAGGUGGUGCUAAUGGUGGUGGCUAUGGACAAGGUCUUGCAGGUCCUCAUUUUGGUGGGCCUGCUGGUGCUAUGAUGCCUCCACAGGGUAUGAUGGCAGCUGGAUUUGAUCCAUCAUUUAUGGGUAGAGGAGCUGGUUAUGGAGGAUUUGCAGGCCCUGGUUUUCCUGGCAUGAUUCCGUCAUUUCCAGGUGUUAAUACCAUGGGUCUUCACGGUGUUGCUCCUCAUGUAAACCCAGCUUUCUUUGGCCGUGGGAUGGCGCCUAAUGGCAUGGGAAUGAUGGGUCCUUCUGGAAUGGAGGGGCCUAAUGCUGGAAUGUGGUCUGACACAAGCAUGGGUGGAUGGGCAGAAGAGCCUGGGCGAAGAACAAGGGAGUCAAGUUACGGUGGUGAUGAUGGGGCUUCUGAGCAUGGCUAUGGAGAGGUAAAUCAUGAAAAAGGACCUAGAUUAAGUGCUGCCUCAAGGGAUAAGGAGCGGGUUUCUGAGCGUGACUGGGCAGGGAGCUCUGAUAAUAGGAGGCAGCGUGAUGACAGGGAACAGGACUGGGACAGGCCGGAGAGGGAACACAGGGAGCACAGGUACCGGGAAGAUAAAGAGCGAAGUAGAGACCAUCGACAAAGAGAGCGUGACUCUGGCUAUGAGGAUGACCGCGAUAGAGGGCAAUCUUCUUCAAGAUCUCGUAGCAGGUCCCGAGCAGUGAUUGAAGAAGAUUACAGGCCUCGAUCAAGGGAUGCAGACUAUGGAAAAAGAAGACGCCUACCAUCAGAGUGACGCAAUUGAUCUAUUCAUUGAUAUGGCUGUGAGACUUCAGUGUUUUAUAUUACAACUCUUCGCCUUUUUCUCUUGGACUGUUGCAACGCAUGUGAUAUUAUCUGAACUGGCUUCCAUUGACCUGAAGUGCAGAGGGUGAUAUCUUGAGGGAAGAAGGUGUGGCAUGGGGAACUCUUUGUUUUCAUGAUUAAUAUUGUUAGUUGCAUGGAGCAAGAUAUGUUAGAUGAGCUGCCGUCACCGAAUUACAUCCAUAAUGGUUUUGAUCUGCCAAGUUUGGAAAAGAAGCUUUGGCUAUUUUGGCUUUCACAUUUUAUUUUUCUUCACAAUUACAAGCUAGGAAUCUGUAAAUAAUGCUCCUACAAGAAUAUUUUUAGAGAAGUCUUGUAUUUGUGGAGCUGUAAAUUGAAUAAGAGAUGGUAAUAUUUUUGGUGUAUAACCUUUUUUUGUAUGUAAUAUAGGCAUAUGUAUUAGGUUUACUUCAUGUAAUGGCCUCAUUCAUUUUUUUUCCGACUGUUUUCCGGUUCUUCAGUGAACUUGUAAAAUCGAUGUACCCGUUGUGAGGCUCAUAUUUGUACGUAUAUGAUGUCUUGUAAAUCUUGUUAUGUAUAUGCAUUAGGUAGAAGGGUCAGCAAUGACUUAAUAACACUCUGUAAUGAAGGGUAGAUGUUCCCUCUGUAUUUAAUCAAUGUAAUACUUACAAACUCGUCCUUCAGCUGAA